CACGUUCCAUCUAAUUUUUAUUUUUGUUAUCAAUUGAAAAUUGUGGUAAUAUUGAUACAGGAAAACCUGUUAAUGAUCAUGGAACAAUUAUCCUUAUAAUUCUUUGAAUUCAAUGUAUUUACUCGACAACAUUAUGCUAUUUUAUAAUGGAACCAGUACAUUAGUCAAGGUUUGGAACUUCCCAAAGAUUCAAGGAGAAUUUUAAAAGCACCUUAUGAAAAGCGACUUAUAGACAGGAGCAUCAACUACAUCAAGUGUCAGUUAAUAUAUAUGUUUUGGUCAAAUACAUGUUUGUAUUUGAAAUAGAAGUUAUUAAAUGUUGGUGGCUCAUCAUGCAAU